UGUUUGUAUCACGAAUUCUUUUAGUAUUCGUUCAGUUGUUGUAGAAUACGUUAGCUAUCAUGAAACACGUACUUUGCUUUUUGGUUAUCUUAGCACUGUUUGCAUGCAUGUUUGCUAUGCCUACUGACGGUGACAAAAAAGAUCCACCUACGCCACCAAAGUCGCCGAAUGCAAUGGCCUACUUUGGGAAGGCCGUGGCCGACUGGACCACCGGCAUGGAAAAAUUAGUACCCGGUAACUGGUAAUAAAUGAGGCAGCUAUUAGUAAUUUAAUAUGUCAUAGUUUAAAAUUAAAUGGUUAGAAGAUA